rnacentral:rRNA from 1 species
GGGUUGUGAGGUUAAGCGACUAAGCGUACACGGUGGAUGCCCUGGCAGUCAGAGGCGAUGAAGGACGUGCUAAUCUGCGAAAAGCGUCGGUAAGGUGAUAUGAACCGUUAUAACCGGCGAUGUCCGAAUGGGGAAACCCAGUGCAAUUCGUUGCACUAUCGUUAACUGAAUACAUAGGUUAACGAGGCGAACCGGGGGAACUGAAACAUCUAAGUACCCCGAGGAAAAGAAAUCAACCGAGAUUCCCCCAGUAGCGGCGAGCGAACGGGGAGCAGCCCAGAGUCUGAAUCAGCUUGUGUGUUAGUGGAACGGUCUGGAAAGUCCGACGGUACAGGGUGAUAGUCCCGUACACCAAAAUGCACAGGUUGUGAACUCGAAGAGUAGGGCGGGACACGUGGUAUCCUGUCUGAAUAUGGGGGGACCAUCCUCCAAGGCUAAAUACUCCUGACUGACCGAUAGUGAACCAGUACCGUGAGGGAAAGGCGAAAAGAACCCCGGCGAGGGGAGUGAAAAAGAACCUGAAACCGUGUACGUACAAGCAGUGGGAGCACCUUCGGGUGUGACUGCGUACCUUUUGUAUAAUGGGUCAGCGACUUAUAUUCUGUAGCAAGGUUAACCGUAUAGGGGAGCCGCAGGGAAACCGAGUCUUAACUGGGCGUUAAGUUGCAGGGUAUAGACCCGAAACCCGGUGAUCUAGCCAUGGGCAGGUUGAAGGUUGGGUAACACUAACUGGAGGACCGAACCGACUAAUGUUGAAAAAUUAGCGGAUGACUUGUGGCUGGGGGUGAAAGGCCAAUCAAACCGGGAGAUAGCUGGUUCUCCCCGAAAGCUAUUUAGGUAGCGCCUCGUGAACUCAUCUUCGGGGGUAGAGCACUGUUUCGGCUAGGGGGUCAUCCCGACUUACCAACCCGAUGCAAACUACGAAUACCGAAGAAUGUUAUCACGGGAGACACACGGCGGGUGCUAACGUCCGUCGUGAAGAGGGAAACAACCCAGACCGCCAGCUAAGGUCCCAAAGUCAUGGUUAAGUGGGAAACGAUGUGGGAAGGCACAGACAGCCAGGAUGUUGGCUUAGAAGCAGCCAUCAUUUAAAGAAAGCGUAAUAGCUCACUGGUCGAGUCGGCCUGCGCGGAAGAUGUAACGGGGCUAAACCAUGCACCGAAGCUGCGGCAGCGACACUAUGUGUUGUUGGGUAGGGGAGCGUUCUGUAAGCCUGCGAAGGUGACCUGUGAGGGUUGCUGGAGGUAUCAGAAGUGCGAAUGCUGACAUAAGUAACGAUAAAGCGGGUGAAAAGCCCGCUCGCCGGAAGACCAAGGGUUCCUGUCCAACGUUAAUCGGGGCAGGGUGAGUCGACCCCUAAGGCGAGGCCGAAAGGCGUAGUCGAUGGGAAACAGGUUAAUAUUCCUGUACUUGGUGUUACUGCGAAGGGGGGACGGAGAAGGCUAUGUUAGCCGGGCGACGGUUGUCCCGGUUUAAGCAUGUAGGCUGGUUGUCCAGGCAAAUCCGGAUAAUCAAGGCUGAGGUGUGAUGACGAGGCACUACGGUGCUGAAGUAACAAAUGCCCUGCUUCCAGGAAAAGCCUCUAAGCAUCAGGUAACAUUAAAUCGUACCCCAAACCGACACAGGUGGUCAGGUAGAGAAUACCAAGGCGCUUGAGAGAACUCGGGUGAAGGAACUAGGCAAAAUGGUGCCGUAACUUCGGGAGAAGGCACGCUGGUGUGUAGGUGAAGCCCCUGCGGGUGGAGCUGAGACCAGUCGAAGAUACCAGCUGGCUGCAACUGUUUAUUAAAAACACAGCACUGUGCAAACACGAAAGUGGACGUAUACGGUGUGACGCCUGCCCGGUGCCGGAAGGUUAAUUGAUGGGGUUAUCCGUAAGGAGAAGCUCUUGAUCGAAGCCCCGGUAAACGGCGGCCGUAACUAUAACGGUCCUAAGGUAGCGAAAUUCCUUGUCGGGUAAGUUCCGACCUGCACGAAUGGCGUAAUGAUGGCCAGGCUGUCUCCACCCGAGACUCAGUGAAAUUGAACUCGCUGUGAAGAUGCAGUGUACCCGCGGCAAGACGGAAAGACCCCGUGAACCUUUACUAUAGCUUGACACUGAACAUUGAGCCUUGAUGUGUAGGAUAGGUGGGAGGCUUUGAAGCGUGGACGCCAGUCUGCGUGGAGCCAACCUUGAAAUACCACCCUUUAAUGUUUGAUGUUCUAACGUUGGCCCCUUACCGGGGUUGCGGACAGUGUCUGGUGGGUAGUUUGACUGGGGCGGUCUCCUCCCAAAGCGUAACGGAGGAGCACGAAGGUUAGCUAAUCCUGGUCGGACAUCAGGAGGUUAGUGCAAUGGCAUAAGCUAGCUUGACUGCGAGCGUGACGGCGCGAGCAGGUGCGAAAGCAGGUCAUAGUGAUCCGGUGGUUCUGAAUGGAAGGGCCAUCGCUCAACGGAUAAAAGGUACUCCGGGGAUAACAGGCUGAUACCGCCCAAGAGUUCAUAUCGACGGCGGUGUUUGGCACCUCGAUGUCGGCUCAUCACAUCCUGGGGCUGAAGUAGGUCCCAAGGGUAUGGCUGUUCGCCAUUUAAAGUGGUACGCGAGCUGGGUUUAGAACGUCGUGAGACAGUUCGGUCCCUAUCUGCCGUGGGCGCUGGAGAAUUGAGGGGGGCUGCUCCUAGUACGAGAGGACCGGAGUGGACGCAUCACUGGUGUUCGGGUUGUCAUGCCAAUGGCACUGCCCGGUAGCUAAAUGCGGAAGAGAUAAGUGCUGAAAGCAUCUAAGCACGAAACUUGCCCCGAGAUGAGUUCUCCCUGAGACUUUAAGUCUCCUGAAGGAACGUUGAAGACGACGACGUUGAUAGGCCGGGUGUGUAAGCGCAGCGAUGCGUUGAGCUAACCGGUACUAAUGAACCGUGAGGCUUAACCUUACAACGCCGAAG